GUGUGUUUGCAUGCUAGGCACUGUGGUGUUCAGGCUUGUACCUGGGAUCGUGUCCCUACCCGAAGUCUAAAUCCGAUUGUGGCUUUGGAUUCAUUCCAUAGCGGGUGAAAGUCCCGUGCGGGUAGGACUAUUGCAAAAUCACACGGUCCUCAGAUGUGCAUGCUUUCGAGUCGGAUUGCUUGAGAAUGCAGUCCAAAGUGGGUGGUAAACUCCAUCCAAGGCUAAAUACUGGCACGAGUCCGAUAGUAGACAAGUACCGUGAGGGAAAGUUGAAAAGUACUCUGAAGAGAGAGUAAAUAGUACGUGAAGCCGAUUGCAGGGAAGCUGGUGGAGUCAAGCUUCGUGCUUGAGGGAUUGAUGCUGGGAGCAGGUGUGUGUAUUGGAUGCGGGGCUGGACAACUUGGAAUAAGUUGGGCGUGUUCUGAAUGCGCUUCAAGUCAUUCCGGGCAGAGUGUUAUGAGCCGGCCUCGCUUUCCUACUCUCAGUGUUGUAUUCCUCGCUGCACAGGCCACAGUCAAUAAUUGUGUGCGGUGUGAUGGCCUAACUGUGCUUCGGCGGGCGCAAGCUCUCCGGGUGCAGGAUGGCAGGUGCUGUCUUCAGGCCUUGUGUCUGUUGAUAGUUGUUGUGGUUUUGACCGGCUGGUCUUCAUACCG
rnacentral:rRNA from 1 species